rnacentral:rRNA from 1 species
GAUGAACGCUGGCGGCGUGCCUAACACAUGCAAGUCGAGCGAUUCUCUUCGGAGAAGAGCGGCGGACGGGUGAGUAACGCGUGGGUAACCUGCCCUGUACACACGGAUAACAUACCGAAAGGUAUGCUAAUACGAGAUAAUAUGCUUUUAUCGCAUGGUAGAAGUAUCAAAGCUUUUGCGGUACAGGAUGGACCCGCGUCUGAUUAGCUAGUUGGUAAGGUAACGGCUUACCAAGGCGACGAUCAGUAGCCGACCUGAGAGGGUGAUCGGCCACAUUGGAACUGAGACACGGUCCAAACUCCUACGGGAGGCAGCAGUGGGGAAUAUUGCACAAUGGGCGAAAGCCUGAUGCAGCAACGCCGCGUGAGCGAUGAAGGCC